CUUGAUGGAGCGAUGCCUGUGGAUGAUGAAGGCCUUUUUGGACCCUAUAAGUUCUUUUAGGGGGGAAGACCAUGACGGUACCCCCUGAAUAAGUGACAGCAAACUAUGUGCCAGCAGCUGCGGUAAUACAUAGGUCGCGAGCGUUAUUCGGAUUUAUUGGGCGUAAAGCAAGCGCAGGCGGAUGAAUAAGUUCUGUGUUAAAAGCAGCUGCUCAACAGUUGUUUGCGCCGAAUACUGUUCAUCUAGAAUACGGUAAGCGGUUUUGGAAUUGAAUAUGGAGCGGUGGAAUGUGUAGAUAUAUUCAAGAACACCAGAGGCGAAGGCGAAAACCGGGGCCGAUAUUGACGCUUAGGCUUGAAAGUGUGGGGACAAAUGGGAUUAGAUACCCCAGUAGUCCACACCGUAAACGAUGGAUAUUAGAUGUUGGGGCUUGUGCCUCAGCGUUGGAGCUUACGUAUUAAAUAUCCCGCCUGGGUAGUACAUAUGCAAAUAUGAAACUCAAAGGAAUUGACGGGGACCUGAACAAGUGGUGGAACAUGUUGCUUAAUUCGAUAAUACACGAAAAACCUUACCAAGAUUUGACAUCCCCCGCGAAGCCACAGAAAUGUGGUCAUAGGUUAUCGGGGUGACAGGUGGUGCAUGGUUGUCGUCAGCUCGUGUCAUGAGAUGUUUGGUUAAGUCCCGCAACGAGCGCAACCCUACUCUUUAGUUAGUUGUCUAGAGAGACUGAACAGUAAUGUAUAGGAAGGUUGGGAUCACGUCAAAUCAUCAUGCCCCUUAUGUCUUGGGCCGCAAACGUGUUACAAUGGCGAGUACAGCGAGAAGCAAGUCGGCGACGGCAAGCUAAUCACUAAAAACUCGUC
rnacentral:rRNA from 1 species